rnacentral:rRNA from 1 species
UACGUAGGGUGCAAGCGUUAAUCGGAAUUACUGGGCGUAAAGCGUGCGCAGGCGGUUCGUUGUGUCUGUGGUGAAAGCCCCGGGCUUAACCUGGGAAUGGCCAUGGAAACUGGCGAGCUGGAGUGUGGCAGAGGGGGUGGAAUUCCGCGUGUAGCAGUGAAAUGCGUAGAGAUGCGGAGGAACACCGAUGGCGAAGGCAGCCCCCUGGGCUAACACUGACGCUCAGGCACGAAAGCGUGGGGAGCAAACAGG